GACGAACGCUGGCGGCGUGCUUAACACAUGCAAGUCGAACGGUGAUCUUGGGAGCUUGCUCUUGGGUGAUCAGUGGCGAACGGGUGAGUAACACGUGAGUAACCUGCCCCUGACUCUGGAAUAACUUCGGGAAACCGAAGCUAAUACCGGAUACGACACAGAGCUGCAUGGCUACUGUGUGGAAAGUUUUUCGGUUGGGGAUGGACUCGCGGCCUAUCAGCUUGUUGGUGAGGUAAUGGCUCACCAAGGCGACGACGGGUAGCCGGCCGGAGAGGGCAAUCGGCCACACUGGGACUGAGACACGGCCCAGACUCCUACGGGAGGCAGCAGUGGGGAAUAUUGCACAAUGGGCGAAAGCCUGAUGCAGCGACGCCGCGUGAGGGAUGAAGGCCUUCGGGUUGUAAACCUCUUUCAGUAGGGAAGAAGCGCAAGUGACGGUACCUACAGAAGAAGCACCGGCUAACUACGUGCCAGCAGCCGCCGUAA
rnacentral:rRNA from 1 species